UACGGGGGGGGGAAGCGUUGUUCGGAAUUACUGGGCGUAAAGGGCUCGUAGGCGGCCAACUAAGUCAGACGUGAAAUCCCUCAGCUUAACUGGGGAACUGCGUCUGAUACUGGAUGGCUUGGAUUCGGGAGAGGAAUGCGGAAUUCCAGGUGUAGCGGUGAAAUGCGUAGAUAUCUGGAGGAACACCGGUGGCGAAGGCGGCAUUCUGGACCGACAUUGACGCUGAGGAGCGAAAGCCAGGGGAGCAAACGGG
rnacentral:rRNA from 1 species